rnacentral:rRNA from 1 species
AGUAAAUAGAUACCCCGGUAGUCCACGCCGUAAACGAUGUCGACUUGGAGGUUGUGCCCUUGAGGCGUGGCUUCCGGAGCUAAACGCGUUAAAGUCGACCGCCUGGGGAGUACGGCCGCAAGGUUAAAACUCAAAUGAAUUGACGGGGGUCCCGCACAAGCGGUGGAGCAUGUGGUUUAAUUCGAUGCAACGCGAAGAACCUUACCUACUCUUGACAUCCAGAGAACUUAGCAGAGAUGCUUUGGUGCCUUCGGGAACUCUGAGACAGGUGCUGCAUGGCUGUCGUCAGCUCGUGUUGUGAAACUGUU